GAUGAACGCUGGCGGCGUGCCUAAUACAUGCAAGUCGAGCGAACAGACGAGGAGCUUGCUCCUCUGACGUUAGCGGCGGACGGGUGAGUAACACGUGGAUAACCUACCUAUAAGACUGGGAUAACUUCGGGAAACCGGAGCUAAUACCGGAUAACAUGUUGAACCGCAUGGUUCAACAGUGAAAGACGGUUUUGCUGUCACUUAUAGAUGGAUCCGCGCCGCAUUCGCUAGUUGGUAAGGUAACGGCUUACCAAGGCAACGAUGCGUAGCCGACCUGAGAGGGUGAUCGACCACACUUGAACUGAGACACGGUCCAGACUCCGACGUGAGGCAGCAGUAGGGAAUCUUCCGCAGGGGGCGAAAGCCUGACUGAGCAACGCCGCGUGAGUGAAGAAGGUCAUCGGAUCGUAAAACUCUGUUAUUAGGGAAUAACAAAGGUGUAAGUAACUAUGCACGUCUGGACGGUACCUAAGCAGAAAGCCACGGCUAACUACGU
rnacentral:rRNA from 1 species